rnacentral:rRNA from 1 species
AUUGAACGCUGGCGGCAUGCCUUACACAUGCAAGUCGAACGCGAAAGGGGGCAACCCUGAGUAGAGUGGCGAACGGGUGAGUAAUGCAUCGGAACGUGUCCUGUAGCGGGGGACAACCCCGAGAAAUCGGGGCUAAUACCGCAUACGUCCUACGGGAGAAAGUGGGGACCGCAAGGCCUCACACUAUAGGGGCGGCCGAUGCCGGAUUAGCUAGUUGGUGGGGUAAGAGCCCACCAAGGCGACGAUCCGUAGCUGGUCUGAGGGGAUGAUCAGCCACACUGGGACUGAGACACGGCCCAGACUCCUACGGGAGGCAGCAGUGGGGAAUUUUGGACAAUGGGCGCAAGCCUGAUCCAGCCAUGCCGCGUGAGUGAAGAAGGCCUUCGGGUUGUAAAGCUCUUUCGGCCGGGACGAAAUCGCUCUCGCUAAUAUCGGGAGUGGAUGACGGUACCGAAAUAAGAAGCACCGGCUAACUACGUGCCAGCCGCCGCGGUAA